GCAAACUUGGUCAUUUAGAGGAAGUAAAAGUCGUAACAAGGUCUCCGUUGGUGAACCAGCGGAGGGAUCAUUACCGAGUCCACGACGCUCAGACCCUACCGCGAACCCGAACCCGUUGCUUCGGCGGGCCCCCCGGCCACCGGGGCCGCCCGCCGGAGGUCUCGGUCCCUAGGCUCUGCAGCGGCCCCCCCGGCCGCGACCCCGUCCUCUGAAUUAGCUUCUAAACCAGUCAAAACUUUCAACAACGGAUCUCUUGGUUCCGGCAUCGAUGAAGAACGCAGC
rnacentral:misc_RNA from 1 species